GAUGAACGCUGGCGGCGUGCCUAAUACAUGCAAGUCGAGCGAACAGACGAGGAGCUUGCUCCUCUGACGUUAGCGGCGGACGGGUGAGUAACACGUGGAUAACCUACCUAUAAGACUGGGAUAACUUCGGGAAACCGGAGCUAAUACCGGAUAAUAUAUUGAACCGCAUGGUUCAAUAGUGAAAGACGGUUUUGCUGUCACUUAUAGAUGGAUCCGCGCCGCAUUAGCUAGUUGGUAAGGUAACGGCUUACCAAGGCGACGAUGCGUAGCCGACCUGAGAGGGUGAGCGGCCACACUGGAACUGAGACACGGUCCAGACUCCUACGGGAGGCAGCAGUAGGGAAUCUUCCGCAAUGGGCGAAAGCCUGACGGAGCAACGCCGCGUGAGUGAUGAAGGUCUUCGGAUCGUAAAACUCUGUUAUUAGGGAAGAACAAAUGUGUAAGUAACUAUGCACGUCCUGACGGUACCUAAUCAGAAAGCCACGGCUAACUACG
rnacentral:rRNA from 1 species